rfam:Gossypium raimondii Chr07_contig_1439, whole genome shotgun sequence.
UAUUAAAAAUUUUAUCCAUUUAUAUCGAUAAAAAUUGGCGUGACUGAUGAAAUAACCAGAUAAUUACACGUGAAUUGCCACAUGGUUAACACUUAACAUACAUGGACUGGGUUUUAACUAUAGAAAUAGGUGAAAUUUUUAACA